ensembl:lncRNA
CAGAUCCAGCUCCAGCUGUUGCAGAAGGGACUCACUGCUGGCCAGAACUGAGGUAUGGGGAAGUGCUGGAGCACAGUUAUCCUGAAGAGUGGGCUCAGUGGGAUGAAGCCAUGUUGGAGUAGUGCUUGGAGAGCUGAAGACUGUGGGAAACCCAUGCAGGAUCAGUUCAGGAAGGAUGCCAUGCCAUAGGAGGGACCUCAUUGUGGAGCAGGGGCAGAGAGUGAUCAUAAAGGUGUGGCAGAAACAAAAUGAUAUGGACUGACCACAGUCCUCAUUACCUGUUCCCUUGUGCUGAGUGGGGAAGGUACAAGACAGCAGAUGUGCUCCCUAAUUCCCAAAGUGAAAAUGUUUAACAGCUUAAUCAGAAUUGUCACAUUACACAGAGCCUUGUAUGCAUAUAUGACACCUAUUGACUUUCACUGAUACUUGCUGAAUGGUUGUGGAGAGCAAACUAUAGAUACGAGUAUAGUGAGGCAGUGUGGGUGAUGCAUUUCAACACUGGCAACAGUGAUGUGAAAGACAAGCUACAUUCUGGAUGACCAUGCAUAGCUGUAACACCACGAAAUGAAGAGCAUCUCAGUCAGCUCACCUGCAUGAGUCAGCACAUUAUAACCAGUGAAUUGUGUAUGGAGUUGAAUGUUGGCUUCAGUGUGUUCGAAACAAUGGUGGCAACAUUGGAAUAUUGCAAAGUUUGCACCAGGUGGGUCCUACAAAUGCACACACAGCACACAGGAACAGAAAGAACAUUGUAUGCAAGUUUGUCAAGAUCUAUUGAACUGAUAUGAAGCUGAAGUUGACACUUUCCUGGGUUGCAUCAUGACCGGUGAUGAGACACGGUGUGACCGCUACAAGCUGGAGUCAAAAUGGCAGUUCGUGGAGUGGCUACAUGUGAAUUGAAGAAAAAGCUCAAGAUACAGCUCACAACAGGUAAGGUGAUGUGCACUCUUUUGGGAUAGGAAAGGGGCGAUCCUUCUGGAUUUCCUGGAACCCAGAAAAACCAUCAUCUCUGACUGCUACAUAGUGACUCUGACUAAAGCUGAAAGCUCAAACUCCCGGAGUGAGGUCACAGAAAAAGACAGCCUUUCUCUUGAAACAUGAUAAUACCAGGCCCCAUACCAGUUUGAAGAUGAUGGAGCAUAUUACCAAUCUUGGAUGAACUGUCCUACUAUGCUCAUCAUAUAGUCUGGAUUUAGUGCCUUCUGACUUCCAUCUGUUUGAGCGGAUGAUAUAUUGUCUGCACGGACUACAUUUUCCUAGCAAUGAUGAUGCCAUACCAGCUGUAAAACAGUAGGUUACUUCCACUGGUGCAGAUUUUUACAAGUGUGUUAUGCAUGCUCUUGAUCAUUACUGGAAAAAAUUUAUAGCUAAUGCCAUAGC